ensembl:lncRNA
UGUGACAUGCCUGGACUAUAGCAUAAACUCGGAUAAUUGACUCUGGGGCCCAGGCAUCUGGGCUAGCUUAGCAGCAGAUGUUCACAGUCACUUUCUAAAGCCAUCCUCGUGCUUCUGUGUUCUGGUGUUGUGCUUCUGAGGGGAUGUUGCUAAAUUUCUGAAGACGUCUCCUGCAUGUUGUAAAGCUCAGCUGCUCUCUGCUUAGCCCCCAGGCUGUCCUUGUGGGGACAUGGCAGGGAAGGGAGAAUUUGGAGGAGGUGACUAGAAGAGCGUUAAUUCUUGUUGGUUUAAUAUGCCUCAGUUUUGUGAGAAAGCACAAACAGGAGCAGAACCAAGAAAAAGUGAAGAGCUGAGCACUGAGGUACAAGGAGAAAUGUCAGUUUAAGAAACGUGGAAGAGAAAUUUGUCGAUGGUUAAGAUAUCAGUCUGCAUCCAAACCCUGCUGAUGGACACUGGAGCCUCUCCAUGGAUUUGAGUGCACUUUGGAUCAUGGCAUAAAAACAGCAAUCAGG